CCAGCGGCUGGAAGAGCACCGCACGU
rnacentral:snRNA from 1 species